rnacentral:rRNA from 1 species
UACGGGGGGAGCAAGCGUUGUUCGGAUUUACUGGGCGUAAAGCGCGUGUAGGCGGCCCUGCAAGUCGGGUGUGAAAUCCCAUGGCUCAACCAUGGAAGUGCACUCGAAACUGCAGGGCUAGAGUCCUGGAGAGGAAGGUGGAAUGCUUGGUGUAGAGGUGAAAUUCGUAGAUAUCAAGCGGAACACCGGUGGCGAAGGCGGCCUUCUGGACAGUGACUGACGCUGAGACGGCGAAAGCGGUGGGGAGCAAACAGG